ensembl:lncRNA
CUUAAACAUCAAAGGUUCAAAAGUUCACUGCAAAUGUUCCUGGAUUACAUUAUUUCAGAGAGGAAGAGAAAGGAAAAAAAAAUUAUUUCCAAAGCUGUACAGUAUAUACUGCAUAUCAUAUGAAAUAUGAACUGGUUGGGGAAGAUGUUGAAAGCAGUGGACUGGGAUCCAGGGGAUGUAGAUUAAAUUCCUUGUCUCUGCUGCAAACUUCCUGUGUGGCCUGGAGCAAACUGCAGCACUUGGUCUGUGUUUUAGUUUCAGACACGUGUGGGGUGCAGCUAAUGAGCCCUUUCUCCUGCCCUUUGUCUCCUUACUCUUCUUAGAGAUGUUCUUUAGAGAAGGUCUGCAGAGAUUCUCUGGGGCACAUGGAAGUUUCAAUGGGAGGCCCAAAACACAGUAAGGUGUGUUUCUUUAGUGAAGAGAAGCUAGAGAACUUAAUCUCAUAUCACAGGGCUGAAACAAAACUCCUAUUCAGCAAGCCCCCAAAUGGUGGACAUUUGAAAUCUGCAGCAGAAUUUUGCAGCCUGGUUCUCCUUCAGAUGGAAACAUUUUCUUUUAUAAUUCUUUAUCUUCCAAAUGCUGAGCAUGUUCUGAGCCUCAAUUGCUCAAGACUGAAAAUAAGCCCGGGGCAACAUCAAGAAGCUGCAACAUCUCUUUAAGAAGCGAGUAUUAAUAUAUUUCCUGUUAGAUAUAGAAAACAGGAUUAGAGGUGAUAUAAUGACAAAGGCCUCCUACGAAAUGAUGAAUAAAUGUCAUUAAUGCCCCCCAAUGGGCAAACUGGUCUCCCACCUGCAUGUGCAUAUCAGGCUUGUAUUAGGUUGUCAUACAUAAUUGAUAGUGAAAUAAGACCACUUUUCACUGAACAGGAAAAAAGCUCACACUGUAAAUUGGCAGAUUCAUUUGCAAGCAGAUCGAUCGGAUCAAAGAUCGGGAAGUUUACUCCAAAUUGAUUUUAUUACAUGAAUUCUAGGAUUGUGUCACAAAUAUCUUUAUAUUUCAAGUAAAUAAAUAAAUAAAUAAAUACCCAUUAGAAGAAAAUAUUUUCUUUCUCUGAAAGAAGUAUGCAUCUUUUUCUCCUUUAUACCAGUUCAAUUUGGGUAAUGAUGCUAUACGAAAUGCGUCUGUUAACAGUAGUAUCUCUCAAAACAGUGUGGCGUUUACUAAGUAAUGACAUCUAUUGAGGAACAGUACUUCAAGAAAAUGGAAAGGAGAAGCCCAUUCAGACUUGGCCAACCAAAGCAUUUGAAAUUGUACAUUCAUUUAACUGUGAAUUAGGAGCGAGGUGGAUGGGAUGACCUUAUGGAUCUAUUCUGUCUCUAGAUCUUACGUGAUAGGCUGCAGCAGUUGGUGUGGGGCAUGUGGAGGUUUAAGGGAAAGUAAUUUCUGUGUGAUUUUAAACAAUAUACUGGCUGCAGGUAUUUCCCAUGGGCCUCCCCUGGAGUGCACAUAACAGCCAAGCUUUCCCCAUUCCCCAAGCUUUUAAAAAAUGCUGGAUCAUCUCCACAGUGGGCAGCUUAAAAAGCCAGGGGUUAGGCACUGGGUCUCCCACACCAUUGGAAGGGUUCAGUCCUCCCAUCCACAAGAAGUGUCCUUUUCUUUCUCAG